UACCAGCACCCCGAGUGGUCGGGACGAUUAUUGGGCCUAAAGCAUCCGUAGCCGGUUCUACAAGUCUUCCGUUAAAUCCACCUGCUUAACAGAUGGGCUGCGGAGGAUACUAUGGAGCUAGGAGGCGGGAGAGGCAAGCGGUACUUAGUGGGUAGGGGUAAAAUCCGUUGAUCCAUUGAAGACCACCAGUGGCGAAGGCGGCUUGCCAGAACGCACUCGACGGUGAGGGAUGAAAGCUAGGGGGAGCGAACAGG
rnacentral:rRNA from 1 species